rnacentral:tRNA from 2 species
GAAAAUGAUAGUCUUGAUUUGCACUCAAGCAGAGGUAAAGUUUACCCUUUUUCA